rnacentral:rRNA from 1 species
GAUGAACGCUGGCGGCGUGCCUAAUACAUGCAAGUCGAGCGAACAGAUGAGGAGCUUGCUCCUCUGACGUUAGCGGCGGACGGGUGAGUAACACGUGGAUAACCUACCUAUAAGACUGGGAUAACUUCGGGAAACCGGAGCUAAUACCGGAUAAUAUAUUGAACCGCAUGGUUCAAUAGUGAAAGACGGUUUUGCUGUCACUUAUAGAUGGAUCCGCGCCGCAUUAGCUAGUUGGUAAGGUAACGGCUUACCAAGGCGACGAAGCGUAGCCGACCUGAGAGGGUGAUCGGCCACACUGGAACUGAGACACGGUCCAGACUCCUACGGGAGGCAGCAGUAGGGAAUCUUCCGCAAUGGGCGAAAGCUUGACGGAGCAACGCCGCGUGAGUGCUGAAGGUCUUCGGAUCGUAAAACUCUGUUAUUAGGGAAGAACAAAUGUGUAAGUAACUAUGCACGUCUUGACGGUACCUAAUCAGAAAGCCACGGCUAACUACGUG